CCUACGGGUGGCAGCAGUGGGGAAUAUUGCACAAUGGGGGAAACCCUGGUGCAGCGAUGCCGCGUGGAGGAAGAAGGUUUUCGGAUUGUAAACUCCUUUUAUCAGGGACGAUAAUGACGGUACCUGAAUAAAAAGCAUCGGCUAACUCCGUGCCAGCAGCCGCGGUAAUACGGAGGAUGCGAGCGUUAUCCGGAUUUAUUGGGUUUAAAGGGUGCGUAGGAGGAAUGCCAAGUCAGCGGUAAAAUCGCGGGGCUCAACCUCGCUCCGCCGUUGAAACUGGCGUUCUUGAGUGGGCGAGAAGUAUGCGGAAUGCGUGGUGUAGCGGUGAAAUGCAUAGAUAUCACGCAGAACUCCGAUUGCGAAGGCAGCAUACCGGCGCCCAACUGACGCUGAAGCACGAAAGCGUGGGUAUCGAACAGGAUUAGAUACCCCUGUAGUC
rnacentral:rRNA from 1 species